rnacentral:rRNA from 1 species
GUGUGUUCCAGGUAAAUCCGGUUCACUUUAACACUGAGGCGUGACGACGAGGCACUACGGUGCUGAAGCAACAAAUGCCCUGCUUCCAGGAAAAGCCUCUAAGCAUCAGGUAACAUCAAAUCGUACCCCAAACCGACACAGGUGGUCAGGUAGAGAAUACCAAGGCGCUUGAGAGAACUCGGGUGAAGGAACUAGGCAAAAUGGUGCCGUAACUUCGGGAGAAGGCACGCUGACACGUAGGUGAAGUGAUUUACUCAUGGAGCUGAAGUCAGUCGAAGAUACCAGCUGGCUGCAACUGUUUAUUAAAAACACAGCACUGUGCAAACACGAAAGUGGACGUAUACGGUGUGACGCCUGCCCGGUGCCGGAAGGUUAAUUGAUGGGGUCAGCGCAAGCGAAGCUCCUGAUCGAAGCCCCGGUAAACGGCGGCCGUAACUAUAACGGUCCUAAGGUAGCGAAAUUCCUUGUCGGGUAAGUUCCGACCUGCACGAAUGGCGUAAUGAUGGCCAGGCUGUCUCCACCCGAGACUCAGUGAAAUUGAACUCGCUGUGAAGAUGCAGUGUACCCGCGGCAAGACGGAAAGACCCCGUGAACCUUUACUAUAGCUUGACACUGAACAUUGAGCCUUGAUGUGUAGGAUAGGUGGGAGGCUUUGAAGUGUGGACGCCAGUCUGCAUGGAGCCGACCUUGAAAUACCACCCUUUAAUGUUUGAUGUUCUAACGUGGACCCGUUACCCGGGUUGCGGACAGUGUCUGGUGGGUAGUUUGACUGGGGCGGUCUCCUCCUAAAGAGUAACGGAGGAGCACGAAGGUUGGCUAAUCCUGGUCGGACAUCAGGAGGUUAGUGCAAUGGCAUAAGCCAGCUUGACUGCGAGCGUGACGGCGCGAGCAGGUGCGAAAGCAGGUCAUAGUGAUCCGGUGGUUCUGAAUGGAAGGGCCAUCGCUCAACGGAUAAAAGGUACUCCGGGGAUAACAGGCUGAUACCGCCCAAGAGUUCAUAUCGACGGCGGUGUUUGGCACCUCGAUGUCGGCUCAUCACAUCCUGGGGCUGAAGUAGGUCCCAAGGGUAUGGCUGUUCGCCAUUUAAAGUGGUACGCGAGCUGGGUUUAGAACGUCGUGAGACAGUUCGGUCCCUAUCUGCCGUGGGCGCUGGAGAACUGAGGGGGGCUGCUCCUAGUACGAGAGGACCGGAGUGGACGCAUCACUGGUGUUCGGGUUGUCAUGCCAAUGGCACUGCCCGGUAGCUAAAUUCGGAAGAGAUAAGUGCUGAAAGCAUCUAAGCACGAAACUUGCCCCGAGAUGAGUUCUCCCUGAGACUUAGAGUCUCCUGAAGGAACGUUGAAGACGACGACGUUGAUAGGCCGGGUGUGUAAGCGCAGCGAUGCGUUGAGCUAACCGGU